UGUUGAUGGGAUCUGAGUUUAAUAGGCCACAAACACCAGUCCUUUAGAGCCUCCAGGCUCUAGAGGCUUUUAAAAUAUCAGUUUUCACUUGCUAAUAUGACAGCGACGUCACACUGAUGUAUCACAAGAUCCCCAAGGCCCCUGGACACCAAAUAUUUAACCCCAGGGGAGAUUUAAGCAUCUCCUACCUGUGACUGAUAAGCCCAGCUUCUGUGUAGGCCUUUGGUGCGCACAUGGUGACUCUUGGUUCCACAACCGUUUUGAUAACUGUAUAUUAACCGAGGAGGGAGUGAACAAGCAGAAAGCGAAGGCACACCUCUAAAUACAUGAUAUUUAAGGCUUUCCUCAUUAUUAUAAAUGUAAUGAACACAUCCCAGCUGAAAUUUAUAGACUUUCCAAAGCAACACUUCAGUCCAUUUAGUGAUGAACGCAUG
rnacentral:lncRNA from 1 species